AUGAUGUGGUUAAUUCGAUGCAACGCGAAAACCUUACCCACCUUUGACAUGUACGGAAUCCUUAGAGAUAGAGGAGUGCUCGAAAGAGAGCCGUAACACAGGUGCUGCAUGGCUGUCGUCAGCUCGUGUCGUGAGAUGUUGGGUUAAGUCCCGCAACGAGCGCAACCCUUGUCAUUAGUUGCUACAUUCAGUUGGGCACUCUAAUGAGACUGCCGGUGACAAACCGGAGGAAGGUGGGGAUGACGUCAAGUCCUCAUGGCCCUUAUAGGUGGGGCUACACACGUCAUACAAUGGAUGGUACAAAGGGUCGCCAACCCGCGAGGGGGAGCCAAUCCCAUAAAGCCAUUCGUAGUCCGGAUCGCAGUCUGCAACUCGACUGCGUGAAGUCGGAAUCGCUAGUAAUCGUGGAUCAGAAUGUCACGGUGAAUACGUUCCCGGGUCUU
rnacentral:rRNA from 1 species